UGCGGUGUAGCUCAGCCUGGCAGAGCAGAGGGCUCAUAUCCCUUUUGUCGUCGGUUCGAAUCCGACCAUCCGCAACCA
rnacentral:tRNA from 1 species